rnacentral:rRNA from 1 species
AUGUUAUUUGCACCAAAAAUUCUCAAAUAUUCAGAAAAAAUCAUAUUAAAUUUUCAGGGCAUUCUGAGAACUUUUAUUUUUUGGGUCAUUUUUUUGUUGCAUGGGAAAUUCAGAAAACAAACAAAAACAUGGCAUUUUAUUUUAUUUAACUAA